UGGAGUGGUCUGCCUCUUCUUUGUUCUCUCUGUGCCCUCUGUGUACUGGGGCUAGUUUGUGAACCAACAACAAGAUAGACAGAAGUAAAAGAUCUCUCAAAGAAAUCUAAGAAGAAAUGGAAAUAUCAUAUCAUGGAAACCAAAGGCAAAAGCACGUCAGGAAGUAGAGAUGGGUCAAUUACACCAAAUACUUCCAAAUGUUUGAGUAAGGCUGCAAGAUGGAAGACAGAAGCAUAAACUUGAAAAUGGGAACAGCCUGAAUACCAAAGUCACUGCUCAGAUGAGAGACACCCAAAAAGCCAGCAGAUCAGGAACAUUCAUACUUGAUUCUGAGAUUUGAAAAGAAAGCUAAAAGAACAUAUUCUGAAGGCUGGAAAUGUGGAACCUGCUGAUUUUAUAGAAGAAAAAUAAAAACAUUUAGAUAUCUGUCUGUUUACAUGUUUAAGGGAGUGCAUGUCAAAAUAAAAGUCAGUCUGGCUCUCA